ACCUUGCUGACGAGUGCCAAGUAGAACGAAACCCGGGUCCAGUGU
rnacentral:hammerhead_ribozyme from 1 species